rnacentral:rRNA from 1 species
UACAGAGGUCCCGAGCGUUGUUCGGAUUCAUUGGGCGUAAAGGGUGCGUAGGCGGCGGGGUAAGUUUGAUGUGAAAUCCCCGGGGGCUCGACCCUGGAAUUGCAUUGAAUACUACCUUGCUAGAGUACCGGAGAGGAAACUGGAAUUUACGGUGUAGCAGUGAAAUGCGUAGAGAUCGUAAGGAAGACCAGUGGCGAAGGCGAGUUUCUGGACGGUAACUGACGCUGAGGCACGAAGGCCAGGGGAGCAAACGGG